rnacentral:rRNA from 1 species
GAUGAACGCUGGCGGCGUGCCUAAUACAUGCAAGUCGAGCGAACGGACGAGAAGCUUGCUUCUCUGAUGUUAGCGGCGGACGGGUGAGUAACACGUGGAUAACCUACCUAUAAGACUGGGAUAACUUCGGGAAACCGGAGCUAAUAACGGAUAAUAUUUUGAACCGCAUGGUUCAAAAGUGAAAGACGGUCUUGCUGUCACUUAUAGAUGGAUCCGCGCUGCAUUAGCUAGUUGGUAAGGUAACGGCUUACCAAGGCGACGAUGCAUAGCUGACCUGAGAGGAUGAGCAGACACACUGGAACUGAGACACGGUCCAGACUCCUACGGGAGGCAGCAGUGGGGAAUAUUGGACAAUGGGCGCAAGCCUGAUCCAGCCAUACCGCGUGGGUGAAAAAGGCCUUCGGGUUGUAAAGCCCUUUUGUUGGGAAAGAAAAGCAGCAGGUUAAUACCCCGCUGCUCUGACGGUACCCAAAGAAUAAGCACCGGCUAACUUCGUG